rnacentral:lncRNA from 10 species
ACUUAACCUGUGUCUAAAGCACUGCUGGCCGCCGAUUCUACGCCGCCCGGUCGCCAGGGAGAGUGAAUACAGCUAGGGACGUGAAAGAACGGGGAAGAUAACCGAAGGGUGGUUUGAGAAACCCACCAGGCCAACUGGGAAUUAGAAUUGAUUCAAAACUCCAUUGAUCGCCUGACCUCCAUAAGCUCCUACUCUGCUGCAGUUGAGUGCUGCCACUUAAAUCCUGCAGUCCCGAGAUCCGGUUAUAACCAAUGCAUUUAGAUUUUUCAUUUCGGUGGCAACAAUCUUCAUUGUAAGUUCUGUCCUACAGAGAAGUGUGGUGAUCAAGCUCUUUGGAGAUACUGGGACUCCUCUCACAAAUGUAUGUCUCACAGUUAUGAUGAAUGGUGUAUCUCCUGGAUCUUCCUCAGUUGAAUGCUUCUUAGAGACAAGGCCUCACUCCAUUGCCCCUAGGCCAGGCCUGGUGAGUGACAGCAGCCCUGGUGCCCCAGCCUGCUAGGGCAAUGUGUCACCCAGAGGCUUCAAGGCCCUUCUCACCAUGGUACCCACCUCCUCGAAGCUGCCU